UAUGGUAAUUGGCCGCCGCGGUAAAACGUAGGUCACAAGCGUUGUCCGGAAUUACUGGGUGUAAAGGGAGCGCAGGCGGGAAGACAAGUUGGAAGUGAAAUCUAUGGGCUCAACCCAUAAACUGCUUUCAAAACUGUUUUUCUUGAGUAGUGCAGAGGUAGGCGGAAUUCCCGGUGUAGCGGUGGAAUGCGUAGAUAUCGGGAGGAACACCAGUGGCGAAGGCGGCCUACUGGGCACCAACUGACGCUGAGGCUCGAAAGUGUGGGUAGCAAACAGG
rnacentral:rRNA from 1 species